rnacentral:lncRNA from 1 species
CCCACCUUUGGACUUGAAACUUGCCAAGUAUUUAACUUAUUGUGGUAGCCCAUUUUGGUGGUUAUCUUUUCUAAAUUAAUCGGUGAUUUUUUAAUAAUAUUUAUGUAUCAGUCAAAGAUACAAAAUUUAAAUUACCGAGAGGAAUCUGAACCUCAUCCCUCCGUCGAUCGCAAUUCCAAACUUUUAUCACACCACCGCACACGACGCAGAGAAAUUUCUUUACAGACUUGACGCCAAAAUGUGAAUGGCAAUAAUACAACCAACAGCCUUAGCUGUGGUGUCGGCGGCUUGUGCUCCCUCCUUCAUUGUCAAGCGUUUCGCUCUUCUUCGUCUUCCUCAAAUGAAUGCUGUUUUCGGACUUCACAGAAUCAGAAGACACCUCACUGUUAUUGCUAUAUCUAUUGUAUCUAUCGAAGUCUAUGUAAGCUCGUGAGUGUGAGAACUUCUCAUAUAAUUCCCGUUUGUUUUCCAAGAAAAUGCUGCUUGUGUUAUUCCUUGCAUUUUGUAAGUCGGAUAUUUUUAGCUGAAUAUAGCAAAUAACACCUCCAUUAUUUUCACCGGCUCCGGCGGAAUUAUGUGAUGUAAAUUGUAUUUAACAGAGAUAAAGAGUUCCUUUUUAAAAAAACAAAAAAGAAACAGAGAUAAAGAGUAAUAAGGGAAUAAUAUUGUUUUUGGAGUUCUCUGCAGUAGAGUUGAAAUCUAAU